UGGGGAAUAUUGCGCAAUGGGCGAAAGCCUGACGCAGCAACACCGCGUGAGGGACGACGGCCUUCGGGUUGUAAACCUCUUUCAGCUCCGACGAAGCGAGAGUGACGGUAGGAGCAGAAGAAGCACCGGCUAACUACGUGCCAGCAGCCGCGGUAAUACGUAGGGUGCAAGCGUUGUCCGGAAUUAUUGGGCGUAAAGAGCUCGUAGGCGGUCCGUUACGUCUGCCGUGAAAACCCGGGGCUCAACCCCGGGCCUGCGGUGGAUACGGGCGGACUAGAGUCCGGUAGGGGAGACUGGAAUUCCUGGUGUAGCGGUGGAAUGCGCAGAUAUCAGGAGGAACACCGGUGGCGAAGGCGGGUCUCUGGGCCGGAACUGACGCUGAGGAGCGAAAGCGUGGGGAGCGAACAGG
rnacentral:rRNA from 1 species